GUAUCACCCAGGCUGCUACAGGGGGAAUAGGAGCAGAAACAGGCAGACAACUCUGGUAAUACAGGCCAAGCACACACUGCCCUCAAGAGCCAAUUCAAACCUCAGCAUCCCAAAGGUCUCCUGACUGACUCCUGCGGACAAUGAAGCCAGCCGAGUAUAAUGGUUAGGAGCAGAAGCUUGGGAAUCAGAUAAAUCUCGGUUGGAAUUUUUGCUCUGCAGCAAGCAUCUAUGGCAUACUAGGCAAGCUUCGUGGGCAAGUGGUGCCCGGUUACUUAAGAACGAGUGAAUAUUGCUUGCAGUGCUUUUGUGUGUCUCAUGAAACUCCUUCCUUGCUGAGCAGCACGUAACAAGUGCGUGUGAAUGUAUGGACAAUCAGACCACACUUGGCUGUCUCGUCUCUUCUGCUGGAUCCCCAAUUCCUCAGGGACAUUGGCUUCUGGCUGUCUUUUUAGACGACCUCCCCCCAUCAUGACGGACUCUUUCUGUGAACUGAAAGCCAUCGAGAGAGAUGGAGGUAUCUUAUUUGAUCUGAGGUUAAUGAGAGAGGCAAACUUUUACAAACCGGAGGGUGCCCGAAUUUCCAGCUAGUGUUAAGCGGCCAUAACAAAG